ensembl:lncRNA
GUAAGACAUUUGUUUUUCUGAAGUCAACUAAGCGAAUUAAUAUGUUAGAAAUGCUAAGAGGAAACUUGACAAUCUUACAUUAUAGUCUAUGUAGGCUACAAAAGUAGGCUACUAUAUUAAAGUAGCCUUUCUAGCCUAUAGUGCAGUGCAAAUCGAGGCUACAUUGAAACAGACACACGUUUGGUGCGGCAUUGUCUAUCCUGACCAAAUUGACAUCAAGCAUUAGCAUUUUAUCAUUGGAUUUGGCCAUGCUUCCAUUAGAAUGGUGUACCUCUCUUUCUAAUCGAAUAUACGGAAAAUCCUUCUCUUAGCCAGCUGUGAAGAAGAAAUUGCUGUUCUGGGAGCAACCCAAUUAAACUACGAAGAAGAAACUGCAAACUCUUGUCCACUGCAUCCGUCCGUCAACGGACGACGGAAGGCGUGUCUGACGGAUGGGGGAGUGGUAUUUGCAGACGGAGCCACGAUCUGAUGGAUCCGUUGCAGCCUGAAAAGUUAAAAUUUUCUCUACCUCUGAAUGCAAGAGACGGAACGGACCGACCGACAAUGCAUUUCAGGAUCGCCCCAUGCAAAGUCAAUGAGAUCCGUCAACGGACGGAUGCAGUGGGCAAGGGGUGUAAGUCUCUGCCAGAUUGUCUUAAAAGCAAGCAAAGCUCUCUUGUACUAUUUCCCGGAUUGCCUCCUUGGCUUCAACCCUGCUUGUUCCUGACCCGUCCUUGUCGUCCCUGCCCUGGUAACCUGAACCGCCUUCUGUCCCUGACCCCUCUGCCUGCUCGCCCCUUGUCUGUCCCCAGUUAGCUUGGAUUCCCUGUUUGGAAAAUAAAGCUGUUGAACUGUUCCAACGCUG